rfam:Ovis aries breed Texel chromosome 2, whole genome shotgun sequence.
CUGAUAGCUCAGUUGUUUAAGAAUCUGCCUGCAAUGCAGGAGACCCAGGUUCAAUUCCUGGGUCAG